rnacentral:rRNA from 1 species
UACAGAGGGUGCAAGCGUUAAUCGGAAUUACUGGGCGUAAAGCGUGCGUAGACGGUUAUGUAAGUCGGAUGUGAAAGCCCCGGGCUCAACCUGGGAAUGGCAUUCGAGACUGCAUAGCUAGGAUGCGGAAGAGGGCAGUGGAAUUUCCGGUGUAGCGGUGAAAUGCGUAGAUAUCGGAAGGAACAUCAGUGGCGAAAGCGACUGCCUGGUCCAGCAUCGACGUUCAGGCACGAAAGCGUGGGGAGCAAACAGGG